rnacentral:rRNA from 1 species
AGCGAACGCUGGCGGCGUGCCUGACACAUGCAAGUCGAGCGUGAAAGCCCCUUCGGGGGUGAGUAAAGCGGCGAACGGGUGAGUAACACGUGGGUAACCUGCCUUCGAGAGGGGGAUAACCAUUCGAAAGGGUGGCUAAUACCCCAUAAGGCCACAGAUUCCAAGGGAUCAGGGGUAAAAGGUGGCAGAAACUUAGUUUCUGCUGUCGCUUGGAGAGGGGCCCGCGCGCCAUUAGUUAGUUGGUAGGGUAACGGCCUACCAAGACGACGAUGGCUGGCUGGUCUGAGAGGAUGAUCAGCCACACUGGGACUGAAACACGGCCCAGACUCCUACGGGAGGCAGCAGUGAGGAAUUUUGCGCAAUGGGGGAAACCCUGACGCAGCGACGCCGCGUGGGUGAAGAAGGCUUUCGAGUCGUAAAGCCCAGUCAGGUGGGACGAAUAAAGCUCGUCGAUAAAACGGGCUUUUUGACGGUACCACCAGAGGAAGCACCGGCUAACUCCGUG